rnacentral:rRNA from 1 species
AGUGAACGCUGGCGGUAGGCCUAACACAUGCAAGUCGAACGGCAGCACAGUAAGAGCUUGCUCUUACGGGUGGCGAGUGGCGGACGGGUGAGGAAUACAUCGGAAUCUACUUUUUCGUGGGGGAUAACGUAGGGAAACUUACGCUAAUACCGCAUACGACCUACGGGUGAAAGCAGGGGAUCUUCGGACCUUGCGCGAUUGAAUGAGCCGAUGUCGGAUUAGCUAGUUGGCGGGGUAAAGGCCCACCAAGGCGACGAUCCGUAGCUGGUCUGAGAGGAUGAUCAGACACAACGGAACUGAGGCACGGGCCAGACUCCUACGGGGGGAAGCAGUGGGGAAUAGUGGACAAUGGGCGCAAGCCUGAUCCAGCCAAACCGCGGGGGGGAAGAAGGCCUUCGGGUUGUAAAACCCAGUUGUUGGGAAAGAAAAGCAACAAGGUAAAACCCCGCUGUUUUGACGGUUCCCAAAGAAAAAACACACGCUAACUUCGGG